UGCCAGUGAUGUAAGAAGGAUAUUUGCUACUCUUGAUGAGUUUUAAUUACUCGUUUGAUGAUCCUUUAUCCACCAAGAUCUCUGAGGCA